rnacentral:tRNA from 1 species
GGUGGCUCAGUGGUAGAGUGCUUGCCUUGCACGCAAGAGGCCCUGGGUUCGAUUCCUCAGCACCA